rnacentral:lncRNA from 1 species
AUCACCGCCACCGCCAUCUCCUUCGCCUCCACCACCUCCAGUUUACUCCCCUCCUCCACCUCCACCAGUUUACUCACCUCCACCACCCCCUCCUCCCCCACCGCCACCACCACCUGUUUAUUUUCCGCCACCACCUCCACCUUCACCACCACCACCGUCUCCCCCUCCACCCUCACCCCCACCACCUUCUCCAUCACCGCCUCCCCCUCCCUCGCCACCACCACCGGUAUUAUCGCCCCCGCCUCCAGUUUAUUGCGUCCGUUCCCCACCACCGCCACCGCCAAAUUCUCCCCCGCCUCCCAUUUAUUCUCCACCACCACCUCCAGUUCAUUCACCGCCCCCACCAAGUCCUUACUAUAGUUCACCACCGCCCCCGCCGCCACAUCAUUCACCUCCACCACCUCCCCACUCGCCACCCCCGCCUCCACCUAUCUAUCCAUACGCAUCACCGCCACCGCCACCCGUGCAUUCCCCACCACCACCUGUCCAUUCUCCACCACCUCCAUGCAUAGAACCGCCUCCUCCUUCUCCACCACCCCCAUCACCACCUCCAUGCAUAGAACCGCCUCCUCCUCCUUCUCCACCACCAUGUGUAGAAUAUUCGCCACCUCCACCAUCACCACACUCACCACCGCCACCACCAGUUCAUUACUUGCCUCCACCAUCACCAUCAC